rnacentral:rRNA from 1 species
CCUACGGGUGGCUGCAGUAGGGAAUAUUGCUCAAUGGGGGAAACCCUGAAGCAGCAACGCCGCGUGGAGGAUGAAGGUUUUCGGAUUGUAAACUCCUUUUGUUAGAGAAGAUAAUGACGGUAUCUAACGAAUAAGCACCGGCUAACUCCGUGCCAGCAGCCGCGGCAAUACGGGGGGUGCAAGCGUUACUCGGAAUAACUGGGCGUAAAGAGCGCGUAGGCGGGAGAGCAAGUCAGAUGUGAAAUCCUAUGGCUUAACCCUAGAACUGCAUUUGAAACUGUUAUUCUAGAGUAUUGGAGAGGUAGUUGGAAUUCUUGGUGUAGUGGUGAAAUGCGUAGAGAUCAAGAGGAAUACUCAUUGCGAAGGCGAACUGCUAGAACAUAACUGACGCUGAUGCGCGAAAGCGUGGGGAGCAAACAGGAUUAGAUACCCUUGUAGUC